UGGGGGUUUUCCUGGCAGCCCCAGGCUAUGCAAAUGCCUCUUUCCCAGAAGUUUCGGAGUCCCUCGCCCCACGGUCCGUAGGCUGAGGGGUGCGCCUGUUCAGUGGAAAAGGCGAGCUCUGAGUCAGCGGCGUGGGGAAACUCGGCGCUGCUCGGACCAUCCCGGUGUUUCCUUCCUAAAUGUGCCUCUGUGUCCCUGCGGAGUCCGUGCUAGGGGGCUCGGGGUGCAGCAGCUGGUCUUAUUGGUGGUGGUGGGAUCCCGAGCCCCUCUCGCUUUGCCUAAAGCCGAUGUCAAUAACAGCUUUUCUCACAGGGAUGCUUAGGCUUCCACCACUGCGUUUUUGCCGCGUUUCGAAGGAAAAAGAACAGCAAGAAAUAAAAUGGAACCCUUCACCUUCUGGUUUGCAAUGGGCAUUAAAGUUUAGUUGCUUAAAAGAAUUAUUGACAGAGCUGAGGGCUGUAAUCUUUAGUCUGCUGUGUUGCUGGAAUUCAGGAAGUUGUGGGUUUGUGUUCAGGAGUGCAUGUGAAGCCUGAAACCCGAAGAGCAUCUACUUUUUACACAAACAUCACUCAAGGCUGGCAGCUGACACACAGCGACCUUGGCUGCGACAAGGAGAUCUCCAAAUGGAGCAGAACUCUCGGCUUUCCUGUCAGGCUUCCCUACAAUCUCUGCCAUUAAUCAAACACUGCAAUUGCACCUCUUUAAAGCUUGAUUUUGGUGAAUUUAUUUAACCUUGUGCGUGACAGGAAUUGCGCAGAGCCGAGGAAUGACAUUUACUUGACCCUCAUCUUGGAGGUUUGCUGGAGGAAUGUGUCCUUGUCAGUGCACAGAGCUGGCUGGGAGCUCUGGGAGCAACAGAGCAGGGAAAAGUCAGGGGAAAGGGGUGUCUUGUCAACUGCUCUGCCAGUGCCCUCCCUUUGGAAAUACUUCUGGAGCUUACGUGUUGAAGGGCUCAGGAGGAACUGGCUUGAAGUGCCAUGCAAAUGCAGAUUGAAGUUCUCCUGGCAAACAGCAACAGUGGCAGCCAAGGGGGAACAAGGACCCCAUCCUGAGGGACAGAGCAGGCUUAGGCAGCCUGUCUGGAGAGGUGGCAGGCACAGGGGGAGAGGCAGCAGCUGCCUGGGAAUACGGGAAGGGCAGAGUAGCAUGGAAUAAAGGAGGGAAAUGGUUUAAGCUGAGGGGGAGCAUUGGUGUGAGGACAAAUUUAUUCUGUUGUCCAUGACAGAGUUUUGGUCAGAAGGUGGGUACUUCCUUGCUGUACCUGUGUUUUGGAGCUGGUCCCUGAGGUGUGCACCAGAUGGAUUCAGCAGAGGAGGCUCGACUGCCUGAAAGGCUCACGUGCUGCAGGGGAAGGGAAGGUUGUCAGCUGCCCUGAG